rnacentral:rRNA from 1 species
CGCUGGCGGCGCGCCUAACACAUGCAAGUCGAAUGAGCGAGAGAGAGCUUGCUUUCUCGAGCGAGUGGCGAACGGGUGAGUAACGCGUGAGGAACCUGCCUCAAAGAGGGGGACAACAGUUGGAAACGACUGCUAAUACCGCAUAAGCCCACGGCUCGGCAUCGAGCAGAGGGAAAAGGAGCAAUCCGCUUUGAGAUGGCCUCGCGUCCGAUUAGCUAGUUGGUGAGGUAAUGGCCCACCAAGGCGACGAUCGGUAGCCGGACUGAGAGGUUGAACGGCCACAUUAGGACUGAGACACGGCCCAGACUCCUACGGGAGGCAGCAGUGGGGGAUAUUGCACAAUGGGGGAAACCCUGAUGCAGCGACGCCGCGUGGAGGAAGAAGGUCUUCGGAUUGUAAACUCCUGUUGUUGAGGAAGAUAAUGACGGUACUCAACAAGGAAGUGACGGCUAACUACGUGCCAGCAGCCGCGGUAAAACGUAGGUCACAAGCGUUGUCCGGAAUUACUGGGUGUAAAGGGAGCGCAGGCGGGAAGACAAGUUGGAAGUGAAAUCCAUGGGCUCAACCCAUGAACUGCUUUCAAAACUGUUUUUCUUGAGUAGUGCAGAGGUAGGCGGAAUUCCCGGUGUAGCGGUGGAAUGCGUAGAUAUCGGGAGGAACACCAGUGGCGAAGGCGGCCUACUGGGCACCAACUGACGCUGAGGCUCGAAAGUGUGGGUAGCAAACAGGAUUAGAUACCCUGGUAGUCCACACUGUAAACGAUGAUUACUAGGUGUUGGAGGAUUGACCCCUUCAGUGCCGCAGUUAACACAAUAAGUAAUCCACCUGGGGAGUACGACCGCAAGGUUGAAACUCAAAGGAAUUGACGGGGGCCCGCACAAGCAGUGGAGUAUGUGGUUUAAUUCGACGCAACGCGAAGAACCUUACCAAGUCUUGACAUCCUGCGACGCACAUAGAAAUAUGUGUUUCCUUCGGGACGCAGAGACAGGUGGUGCAUGGUUGUCGUCAGCUCGUGUCGUGAGAUGUUGGGUUAAGUCCCGCAACGAGCGCAACCCUUAUGGUCAGUUACUACGCAAGAGGACUCUGGCCAGACUGCCGUUGACAAAACGGAGGAAGGUGGGGAUGACGUCAAAUCAUCAUGCCCUUUAUGACUUGGGCUACACACGUACUACAAUGGCGUUAAACAAAGAGAAGCAAGACCGCGAGGUGGAGCAAAACUCAGAAACAACGUCCCAGUUCGGACUGCAGGCUGCAACUCGCCUGCACGAAGUCGGAAUUGCUAGUAAUCGCAGAUCAGCAUGCUGCGGUGAAUACGUUCCCGGGCCUUGUACACACCG